CCAAAACCGAUAGACCAUGGCAAACAUCACAGGCGCCGGAAGGAGGGUCAGGACCGCCACGAGCACGGUGAGCUGCUGCUGCUGCCGCUGGCCCACAGAACAGGGAGAUCGAACCCCCACCCAUCCCAAUACCCCGCAGACAGAUGAGAGAAGAGACAGACGCCCAGACACAAAGCCACAUCAUUAAGUUCGGGAAUUGCAGGAUUGAGG